AACGAACGCUGGCGGCAGGCCUAACACAUGCAAGUCGAACGCUGUAGCAAUACAGAGUGGCAGACGGGUGAGUAACGCGUGGGAACGUGCCUUUCGGUUCGGAAUAACUCAGGGAAACUUGAGCUAAUACCGGAUACGCCCUUCGGGGGAAAGAUUUAUUGCCGAAAGAUCGGCCCGCGUCCGAUUAGCUAGUUGGUGUGGUAAUGGCGCACCAAGGCGACGAUCGGUAGCUGGUCUGAGAGGAUGAUCAGCCACACUGGGACUGAGACACGGCCCAGACUCCUACGGGAGGCAGCAGUGGGGAAUAUUGGACAAUGGGCGCAAGCCUGAUCCAGCCAUGCCGCGUGAGUGAUGAAGGCCCUAGGGUUGUAAAGCUCUUUCGCCAGGGACGAUAAUGACGGUACCUGGAUAAGAAGCCCCGGCUAACUUCGUGCCAGCCGCCGCGGUAAUAC
rnacentral:rRNA from 1 species